rnacentral:rRNA from 1 species
AGAAUGAACGUUGGCGGCGUGGAUUAGGCAUGCAAGUCGCGCGAUUUCCUUCGGGAAAGAGCGGCGGAAAGGAGAGUAACGCGUAGAUACCUACCCUCGGGACCGGAAUAGCGACGGGAAACUGUCGGUAAUGCCGGAUAACGUCCCUGGACCAAAGGUGUGAAUCCGCCUGAGGAGGGGUCUGCGUCCUAUUAGCUAGUUGGCGGGUAACGCCCACCAAGGCGAAGAUGGGUACCGGCGUGAGAGCGUGACCCGGCUCACUGGGACUGAGACACUGCCCAGACACCUACGGGUGGCUGCAGUCGAGAAUCUUCGGCAAUGAGCGCAAGCUUGACCGAGCGACGCCGCGUGCGGGAUGAAGGCUUUCGGGUGUAAACCGCUGUCAGUGGGAGAAAUUCGUUGGGGGUACCUCCCCGUUGAUUGACCGUAUCCGACAGAGGAAGGACGGCGUAAGUUCGUG